rnacentral:rRNA from 1 species
CCUACGGGAGGCAGCAGUGAGGAAUAUUGGUCAAUGGACGAGAGUCUGAACCAGCCAAGUAGCGUGAAGGAUGACUGCCCUAUGGGUUGUAAACUUCUUUUAUAUGGGAAUAAAAUGUUCCACGUGUGGGAUUUUGUAUGUACCAUAUGAAUAAGGAUCGGCUAACUCCGUGCCAGCAGCCGCGGUAAUACGGAGGAUCCGAGCGUUAUCCGGAUUUAUUGGGUUUAAAGGGAGCGUAGGUGGAUUGUUAAGUCAGUUGUGAAAGUUUGCGGCUCAACCGUAAAAUUGCAGUUGAAACUGGCAGGCUUGAGGACAGUAGAGGUGGGCGGAAUUCGUGGUGGAGCGGGGAAAUGCUUAGAUAUCACGAAGAACUCCGAUUGCGAAGGCAGUUCACUGGACUGCAAAUGACACUGAGGCUCGAAAGUGUGGGUAUCAAACAGGAUUAGAGACCCGAGUAGUC